AGGGCACCACCAGGAGUGGAGCCUGCGGCUUAAUUUGACUCAACACGGGGAAACUCACCCGGCCCGGACACCGGAAGGAUUGACAGAUUGAUAGCUCUUUCUUGAUUCGGUGGAUGGUGGUGCAUGGCCGUUCUUAGUUGGUGGAGCGAUCUGUCUGGUUAAUUCCGAUAACGAACGAGACUCUAGCCUAUUAAAUAGACGUCGGGUUCUCUGCACUCGACGGUCUUCUUAGAGGGACAAGGUGCUUUUAGCACCGCGAAACAGAGCAAUAACAGGUCUGUGAUGCCCUUAGAUGUCCGGGGCCGCACGCGCGCUACACUGAAGGAAGCAGCGUGUAACAACCUUGUUCUAACGAACUGGGUAACCCGUGGAACUUCCUUCAUGAUUGGGAUAGGGGUUCGCAAUUGUGCCCCUUGAACGAGGAAUUCCCAGUAAACACUAGUCAUCAGCUAGUGCUGAUUACGUCCCUGCCCUUUGUACACACCGCCCGUCGCUACUACCGAUUGAAUGGUUUAGUGA
rnacentral:rRNA from 1 species